rnacentral:lncRNA from 1 species
AGAUUAUAAAAUCCCAGUGAGUAAACAAACAUCAUUUAAAUCAGCUAAAGCCGAGUAAAAGGAGACAAUUCAAAUAUCCCAUCAUUUUUAAGUAUUUCACAAUUUGAAAAUUCAUCCCAACCCAUGCAAACAGUUGUAUUUCAUUUAAUUUCUCAUUAAGGCUUAUGAUUUCCAUAAACAUUUGGCUCAUGCCAUCAAAUAGUACUCGGUGACACCUUGAUCAAAGGUGUACACUCGAGCCCGCCAAGGUUGUUAAAAUUUCGUAUACACUUAAAACAUAUCUUUAGUUUGAAAAACACAGCCAUUCCUUGACGUUGGCUGAGUUCCCCUUCACGUGG